UCGUCCACAACAGACUCAGAACUGUGGACAACAGUAAAAGAAAACCCUCUGAACUACAGAACUUCCUGCCCAACAAACAGUUGAGUUGCAGAGCUGUCAAUUGUGUGGACUGCGACCUUUCAUGAAUACAGUACAGGAACUUCAUUAUUUUCUUAGAAGACCAGAAGAUGUAUGGAGGCCGAUGGACAGAUAAGACUUUCUGUGCAAGGUGUUCCCCUCACUAGUCCUCUUCGAGAAGAUAAGUGGACGUGUUAUGCUACCUUGGAGCUCUACCAGGAUCCAGUAACUGUCUCCUUCAGAGAGAAAGAAUAAGGGUUAGAGUAAAAUGGACCAGCUAUGGGUAACCUAGGAAGACCAACACUGUGAAUUACUCUUCUUUAGCCAAAAACCUGCCUUUUAAUGCUCAUUGAGGGACAUUUAUCAAUGUUUGCUUAUGUAUUCUUUUUUUUAGUAAUUUUUUCCUUACUUUUUUUUUUCUUAUGUGUGACUUAUGAAUCAACUGGUUUCAGCCUGUUGAUAAUUUUCUUUCACGUAAGCAAUUUUUCCUUUUUUACUUUGGUAGUAGCUUUUUCUCCUCCAUGUUUGAGCUCGAGUAAAUUUAGUCAAUUUUUAACCCUGUUGCGACUUUUUUUUGCGCAGUUGCGACUGUCGCAGUUAAUAAAUACCUGACUACCCGUAGUCCAUUUUAAAAUUAUUACUAAGUAGUUAAUAUUUGGAAAACUUGCUUUUCUCGCUUUCCAGUCAAAAUGUUGCACGAAAAAUUGCGUAGUCACAGUUGCGACAAUUAUAGUAAAGAAAACCUGACUAAA